GGGUGCUCGAGUGGCGAACGGGUGAGUAACACGUGAGUAACCUGCCCUUGACUUUGGGAUAACUUCAGGAAACUGGGGCUAAUACCGGAUAGGAGCUCCUGCUGCAUGGUGGGGGUUGGAAAGUUUCGGCGGUUGGGGAUGGACUCGCGGCUUAUAAGCUUGUUGGUGGGGUAGUGGCUUACCAAGGCUUUGACGGGUAGCCGGCCUGAGAGGGUGACCGGCCACAUUGGGACUGAGAUACGGCCCAG
rnacentral:rRNA from 1 species